ACUUGAAAUGCAUGCCCAAGACAGACAGGGAAGAGGUGUGGACCACACUUGAAGGGAUGCUGCAACAAGAGUCACCCAGAAGGUCUUCACAGGCACAUGAUGAUGGGCCACCCAGGAAGAAAACCAGCCUCUGCAAAUGGGCUCAGAUUCAGAAUCAGAAGAUGAAGAGGUCCAACCUGCCAUACAGAGGUACAGAGCAGAGCCCACCAUUGAUUUGGAGCACUGCCCCUUGAGGUGGUGGGCAUCUCAUUCAGGAGCCCAUGAGAAGCUGGCCUCAGUAGCUCACAAAUAUCUAGCCACUCCUGCAAACACUGUUCCCUGUGAACGACUUUUCUCAGUUGCAGGUCACAUUGUGAACAAGAAAAGGUCAGCUUUACUUUCAGAAAAUGUGAACAAGUUAGUUUGCCUCAGCAACUGGCUGAAAGAUGAUGAAGCUCAGUAGAUUUGAAAGGUGAUGUUCAGACAAAAAGACCAGUUUCAGUGCAACAUGUUAUAGUAGUUAGCAACUGGAUUUUUGAGCAACUGGAUUAAAGAAUGGAGGAAAAGGUAAAAGAUUGUUCUUUGGUUUGAUUUAAAAGUUGAAAAUGUUUUCUUCCACAUAAAACGCAACAGAUGACUCAAAUUGUGCAAAAAUGUGGUAGACCACUGUUAUGAUUUGACUACAUUUAUUGCUUUCUGUUCUGAAUACUGUAAAUUGUACACCCUGGUUAAGAGGAAUGCCAAAAAGGAAGCAAUGGGACAUUACAAAGACAAAUAUUAUGGUGUGUAGUAUGUUUCAGCUUGAUUUAAACCACCAUUAUUUGGCUGUGUUAAUAAACAGACAUAAUAUGAAAAUUAUGUAUCUGUGUCCUGUUAUCUAUCUUUUGGUAUGCAUUUCAGAAAGAAAAAAUGGUUAGGAUUCAGGUGUAAUUUCAAAUAGUGAUUAAUCCUGAUUAAUCCACUGAAAAAUCUGAUUAAUUGAUUAAAAUUUUUAAUUAUUUGACAGCCCUAAUAUAAAUAUAAAAAAAUAAGCUUCCUCCCACAGUCCAAAGACAUGCUCUGGGGAUCAGGUUGACUGGUAACUCUAAAUUGCCCGUAGGUGUGUGAAUGUGAAUGGUUGUAUGUCUCUAUGUAGCCCUGUGAUUGGCUGGCAACCAGGCCCGGGUGUACUCUUGUCUCUCGCCCGAAGUUGGCUGGGAUAUUGUCCACCCACUCAGGGGUUUUGAAUUAAUGUAGAUGACUCCAGACUCCAGACCCCCCGCGACCCUGUGUGCAGGAUAAGCGGUUUGCAAAUGGAUGGAUGGAUCUGUGAGGUGUUAUUAAAGUAAUGUACAUAGAAACGACACUACUGUGCAGCAGGUUGUUAUGUUUCAUAUGAAUAUUCUCAACCUUCUGACAAUGAUAACAUGAACCUCUGAAAGUGUAUGUGGGUGACAUUAGGAUCUGAAAACAUAACAUGUGAGAGGCAAAUAAAUUCAAAUGACUUACCAUAUACUCCCGAACAAGCUGUCCCUCGUCCUCCCCCAGGUAGAUGCAAAGAGCCUUUAGGACAGCUGUCCUUUUAGGAUUGACAUCACUUGUCUCCUGUGUUAAAGAAUUACAAUUAUUAAAUAAUAAGAAAUACAGAAAUAAGUACAGCAAUUUUAAUAAAUUGAACAAUAUUUAUAUUACAUUACAUGACAUGUCAUUUAGCUGACGCUUUUAUCCAAAGCGACUUACAAUAAGUGCAUUCAACCAUAAAAUGUAAUAACCUAAAUGUAUAAUAUAACUUCAUUUUUUCAUCAUCACAAAUAUACAUGACAUUUUACAUGUCAUAAAGACAAUUGGUAUACAUAUUUACUUCUUGCAAGAUCUCCAGAUGUUUAGCUAGUUUCUGGCCAGCAACUCCUCCCUUCGUCUGGAAGAUAUACGUCAAUUGGGCUAAAUGGCUGUCCAACUGUGCCAUGAAGGUAGAUUCCAGUGGGAUGGUGGUAACGCGUUGGAACUUAGCAUGUAUCUUAUCAAAAAACAAAAAGAUAAAAUACAAAGAGUAUCAGUGCAAUAUUUUGUUGCUAAUAAAUUCUAGUUUUGAACUCCUCGUUAACAAAGACUGUCUUUGAUAGCAUGUGUACUGGUUGGUCCACAGUGUGUUCUAGCCAGACACAUUCCUAUUAAUCGUGGGUAAUUGCAAGAGUAGGCUUUCCUUCAGACAAUCAAAGAGCUGACAAGCUGGUGAAAAAAGUGGAAUAUGCAGGAACUUAAGAGCCAGACAUUUUUCUUGGUAGUGACCAAAAACAGAGCUAUAAGAAUAAUCAAUCACUAGGUGGGAUAUAUUUUUCUUUCAAAUGUAUUGUCAAUAUUUAGGUUACAGCAGUUACACGCUAAGAUUGUACAAAGACAAGCCGCACAUUGGGAAAAUAGGUAGCAAAUGCUUACCUCACCGACUAAAGAGGACUAAAACCGUUUGCACAAAAGUUGUUGAAUGCCUACAUAUGAUCAGUGGCAGAUUGACUUUGCUGUCAGCGAUUACUGCCCUAUAGAGGGCAAAUAUACCACAGCAUUAGAGUAUUUAACCUGAGCAGUACUGCUGGGAUCAGCAUACCUGUGAAGAGUUUGUUUGUUAAAUGUACUUACCAAAACAAUAUGAGGUCCCCAAAGAGUUCCACAUCACACCAACAUCAGAUAGAAAAAACUGCAAAAAAAAUACAAUUCAGGAUUGGUACAUUUAUUUUAUGAAAAAUAAGUAUUGUUCAUUUAUCAUUACUGAAUUUUGGCACGGCAGGCAAACCAAUAUUAUCUUAUCCAUUUAGUUUUUAGCCAACAUGUGGUCAUGAGGUGUGGUCUCUGUUGCCUACAGAGCAGCUGCAGCUUACACUUCCCCGCAUUGAAGCGCAUUUCCUCCGUGCUCUCAGAGCUAACGGUUACCUACAUGUUUAAGCUAACGCUAGCUCAUUAGUGUAUAACCGAGAAAAGGCACCGCAAAGGGAAAAGAUACCGCAGUAAAGAGUUGAGCAGAGCCGCGCGGGACUCACGUAAUGGCUGUUAACAUGAACCCAUUUGGCGCCAGAGAGCAGCAAACGCACAUUUUUCAAUGGGAUUGACUUUAGUUCUCUUUCCCCCUUUUAUUACCGCACUGAUAAGUUUAAGUUAAAAAAUACACUUAAAGUGGGUCCGUAACGUUAAACCUUUCUACAUGCCGAGAAACCCGGGAAGGUCAGGCUACAAGCUAUUAACGUUAGCUAACAGCUAGCGUUAGCUAGUCACUUUACAUCGGUUAGGUUCGAAUGUUCGUGGCCACAAACUCACGAGAAAGUCAAACAAGAAAAGCAUCUGAUGCAUCACGCAUUUAUAUUGAUAGCAUCAACACUAGUUAGAUAAUUAUUUUCACUUAAAUGAGUCUACUAAUGUUAACCUAGCCUUAAUGGUGUAGGCAACAUUAAGCUAACGUUAGCAGCUAUAAGCCUCAGUUAACAUUUUAUUGAGACAGCAGACAGCCAACUACUUUUCUUGGUGGCAACUAAAUCCUGUUAAAGUGAAAAUAUGUAUUAUGAAUUUAAAACGUUUACUUACUGAAAACGUAGAGCCUUGGAUACGCAGACAGCCAGGAGAUAGAGCAAAUCCGCGUCCUCCAGGGGCGGUUUGUGGUCGCACAUGCGCAGAUGUGGAAGUUGAAUGUGGGUUUAAAAUGUACACGUGUUUUUCAUGUAACCUUUAAAUGACGGAAAUGAGCUUUUCGUAAACCAUGGAAGAAUGUGUUAAGCUUAAUUAAAAAAGCUAAUUCAAUAACACGUUCAAAUCAGUGAAAUGACCUUGCAUAAAUCAAGUAAUAUUUAAAAGCGGUCCGAAUCGUUUUUCUCCAGGAGCCAGUGGAAGGUUCUGCCCUGGUAGCGGCCAAACUGCACCUUCCACCGGCUCAGAACCAGGGCGGCGUUGGCGGUGUCACCGCCCUUGGAGACGACAUGAACCCAGGCCUCCGAGUCCACCUCCUCCGGCCUCUUUGCCCUGUAAGGCGCCUGGGCACUGGGGGGCUGCCGCGUGAAGAGGGCCUGGGCCUCUGGGGAGGCCGUGGGCAGGAUGGUCCCGUUAGGGGCCCUUCUGCAUGUAGGAUGCUCCAUCUAAACAAAUGGACAUUUUAGCAGCACACGGGAGAAAGAAGAAGACAUGACACGUGACACUCCCAUCUAUGACAUCAGUUAUAUCACAGUAUUUUACUCUUGUCAUUUAAACCUUCCUAUCAGAGGAAACCCUGUUUCUGUCUCUAAAUAUGCACAUCUUUUUGUUUGUUUGUUAUUAUUCCACAUAAAUGACAAAUAUCACAAUUCUACUGGACUGUUGAAUGACACAUGAAUAAAACACGUUGCUAUACGUUGUAAUAAAGUAACGUUUAUGACUUGGUAACACCUGGUGUUGUCAACAUAUGACGCAUCCCCGAUGCUAUAAGUCACGUAAGCUCCGUCACCAAUAAACCACUUAAAUGUCCGCAGAAACACGGAGAGACGUGACCGUUAGCUCCCAUACGCGGUUUUAGACCGGGUUCCAUUCACCGUAUUAAAGUAGAGUUAGUAAUAAUAACCAUAAAUUGUGGCUAAAGUUAGGUGUGUGACGUCACGGCCGCCGCUAGCAUCGAUCGGCAGCGGGUUUGUUGCGGGCAAACUCAUUUCCAUUCACUCACAUUGAAAUAGUAUUAGUAUCCCUGCUUGCACUCAUAAUAAGCACCCAUUAACAUGCGCCGUAGUACUAAAAAACAACAUAGUUGACAUGUUGUACUUACGUCUGCCGAGUAUUGUUAGAAUGAGACGGCAGUCCAGCGGUGAUCCAACAUGGCGGAACGAGAAGUCGGAAUUGAAACAAAUUGAGCAUCUGAUUGGACGCGCAAACCGUGGAUCCUCUGAUAGGUCGGCCGAGAAUUGAAACAAGCUCUGAGGCGUCUCAUUGGCUCCUAGGAAUUUAAACAAUUGGGACAGAGAAGAAGGGGCUCCGGGUGAAAAGCAGGAUAUGGUUCAUUCUUCUCUGCGAUCAGGUCCCAAAAAUAGUAUGUGUGGGGAGGAGGGGCUAGCUGUGCUCCAGAUGUGGGCUGCGAUGCAGAAGAUCUGUGGUUCGAGUCCCACCUCCGGCAAGUUGCAAGCAAAGUGUGUUGAAUGAUGGCAGUUAUGGAGAUUUCCCUAAAUAAACGGGUGUGUAUGGAAUGAAAACAUACAGGUGUGUAUGAAAUGAAAAAGCUUCCAAAACCAAGUGCAGAAAAUACACUUUAAUGGCUUAAAUAACACAUGACAAUAAUAACACAUGACAAUAAUAACGCAUGACAAUAACAACACACUAAUAGUAACCUGCUUAAACCUUAAACUGCUUAUAAAUAAAUAAAACAACAAAUAAAAACCCUCAUUUCCCCCCGCUCUGAGUGCUUUGGACCUCCUCCCUCCACUGCUCCACAGUCUUGCCCCCGACAGCAGCACAGUACGUUACACCGUAAAGCCGAGUGUGGCCAGUUUCUAAUGUUUUGGGCUGACCACACUUGGAGCAGGUGUACUGCUGUCGGGGAUUCUUGGGUGGCAACACCUGACCUGCAGCAGCAGCAGCAGCCGCUGCCUCGGCCGCCUUCCUCUUCCUCCAGACAGUGGUCCUGCUUUGUCCGGGACUUUGAGGAGGCAGACCGGCAGGACCAGGGAAGACACCCAGGGGCAGUGGAGGAAGGCCGCUGGACGAAGGUCCAGGCUGCUCCCCAUCUGGUGGUGGAGGAGGAGGAGGAGGAAGGCCGCCGGAUGAGGGUCCUGGCUUCUCAUCCGGCACGUCAUACUGGUAGGGCUGUCCUUGUCCCACCUGAACAAAGGACAGCCCUUUGACGGGAGGGAGGGGCUCGGCUGCGACACCUGCAGGGAUGACGGAAGCUCCCUGCUGCAGCACAGCCGUGACCAACCCCCUCUGCUUGCGAGAGAACCUGGGAGACAAACACAGAAUGCGGUCAGGCUCUUGAUCCAGCGAUAAAUCAGAGUGCAGACCCGUCAAAGCAGCUUCACGUUAAACUCACCACUGGCUGAGGGUCCGGUGGUUCAGCUCAAAGAGCUGGAUGUCCGUCUGAGCCAUCAGCCUCGGGGUGCUCAGCACUAUCUCUCUGAUGGACACAUAGUCAGCGAGGAUGAGGCUGAGCCGGGGCUUGUGCAUCCCGCCGACCCGCGUGGCCGCCGGGUGGAGCUUGCAGAGCAGCGUGCAAAUGGCCUCCACCAGGCGACUGGCGCUGGGCCAGGUGGAAGGCCCCGAGUUGACCCCGAGGAGGCAGCUGAAAGAGUCACGAGGAGCAGAGUGUGGGUCAGUACACAGCAGAUAUGUACCAGAGGAAAGAUCCCUGCUCUAAAGGAGUCUCACCGUUGGAGAC
ensembl:lncRNA